rnacentral:rRNA from 1 species
CCAAUAGCGUAUAUUAAAGUUGUUGCAGUUAAAAAGCUCGUAGUUGAAUUUCGGGAUCAAUUUGCCGGUCGUGCCUCCGGUACGCACUGGUCUCAUUGAUUUCUCCCUUCUGACGAACCAUGAUGUCAUUAAUUUGGUGUCAUGGGGAAUCAGGACUGUUACUUUGAAAAAAUUAGAGUGUUUAAAGCAGGCACACGCUUGAAUACAUUAGCAUGGAAUAACGAAAUAGGACGUUCGACCCUAUUUUGUUGGUUUCUAGGAUCGACGUAAUGAUUAAUAGGGAUAGUUGGGGGCAUUAGUAUUCAAUUGUCAGAGGUGAAAUUCUUAGAUUUAUUGAAGACUAACUACUGCGAAAGCAUUUGCCAAGGAUGUUUUCAUUAAUCAAGAACGAAAGUUAGGGGAUCGAAGACGAUCAGAUACCGUCGUAGUCUUAACCAUAAACUAUGCCGACUAGGGAUCGGAUGAUGUUAAUUUUUUUAAUGACUCAUUCGGCGCCUUACG